GACGGAGGGGGCAAGCGUUGUUCGGAAUUACUGGGCGUAAAGCGCCUGUAGGCGGGAACGUGCGUCGGACGUGAAAGGCGGGGGCUUAACCCCCGAGCGGCGUUCGAAACGGCGUUUCUUGAGGGUCGAAGAGGAGCGUGGAAUUCCUGGUGUAGCGGUGAAAUGCGUAGAGAUCAGGAGGAACACCCAUGGCGAAGGCAGCGCUCUGGUCGGCAUCUGACGCUGAGAGGCGAAAGCGUGGGGAGCGAACGGG
rnacentral:rRNA from 1 species